GUAGUCGUGGCCGAGUGGUUAAGGCGAUGGACUAGAAAUCCAUCGGGAAACUUCCUGCGCAGGUUCGAAUCCUGCAGACUAUG
rnacentral:tRNA from 1 species